GCUCGUUCCGAAUCUAUUAUUUUUCACUUGUGCACCUCUUGUAGUCCUUUGAAAGGAAAAAAGUGAAACCCUCGCAGCAAUGCGGUCUGGGGACUUUGAGCCGCGUCAAGCCUCAUUCCCCUGCUUGCUCUUUCUCUUUCUCAGGGCUAUGUUUUCAUAUACACUAUAAAGUUACAGAAUGUCUUUUAAAGAUUGCGCAAGCAGUCAUUAAACCUAUACAACUUUCAGCAACGGAUCUCUUGGCUCUCCCAUCGAUGAAGAACGCAGCGAAAUGCGAUAAGUAAUGUGAAUUGCAGAAUUCAGUGAAUCAUCGAAUCUUUGAACGCACCUUGCGCCCUUUGGUAUUCCGAAGGGCAUGCCUGUUUGAGUGUCAUUAAAUUCUCAACCUUGCUUGCUUUAACCGGCUCGAGUGAGGCUUGGACGUGAGGGCUUUGCUGGCUUCCUUCAGUGGAUGGUCUGCUCCCUUUAAAUGCAUUAGUGGGAUCUCUUGUGGACCGUCACUUGGUGUGAUAAUUAUCUAUGCCUCGUCGACUUUGAAGCAAAAUUAUGGGAACCUGCUUAUAACCGUCCCUAACAAGGACACUAAACUUUGACCAUUUGACCUCAAAUCAGGUAGGACUACCCGCUGAACUUAAGCAUAUCAAUAAGCGGAGGAAAAGAAACUAAAAAGGAUUCCCCUAGUAACUGCGAGUGAAGCGGGAAAA
rnacentral:rRNA from 1 species